rnacentral:lncRNA from 1 species
CCUAUGGGCACAAAAAGCAGGAACGAGUAGCGGUGGCUGAAGAACGAGCAGGAGCUUGAAUUUCAGUUUUCUUAUGAGGAAUUUUCCAGAAAAGAUAUCUUCACUGUGAAAUAACUAAAUAAAUGCCCACUCAGUACAGUCACUGUCUCCCUUUUGGAACUUGAUGGCACCUUAAGCCCAGGUUUGCCUCCACUCUAGAAACUCAUCAGAGUGAUGCCCUUCUCAAAUGGGGGAGGUCCCAAAGCGGAUAUCCUGGCAGUGUGAAAGGCCGGCUAAAGGUUUGUGCCAAGAGGAUCUGUGGAAUGCAUCUCCUACAGCUGGUGCUGCUGAGUAACCACUCUGAUCUGGCAUCUUCUUUGAUCAAGUUACAGAGCAGAGUUUCCAGGGCUGGGGAUUGAAGUCCUGCCUCCUCCCUUUGUCUCUGGUUGUCCUCGGUAAUGUUUUUCCCUCAAGGUACUCAUGAUACUUCCCAUGGGCUUUCCCUGCACUCCAAACACAGAGCUGAGACUUCCACCUAAUGUAGAAAGCUAGCACGAGCCGGCGCUGACAGAUGGAAGACUUGAGAUGUUACAAGAUUAUAUAUGGAAACACAAAAGGAGAUACCGGAGCCAUGACAGACUGUGAUGGGGCUGGUGGACAGUUCAGCAAGACAUUGAUAUUGUCCAUUGGCGCUCAGUUCAUCUGUAAUGACACAUUCAAGGAUGACGAU